rnacentral:rRNA from 1 species
AAAAAAAAAAUUGAGAGGAUAGGUCUCGCUCGUUUGGGGUGUCGAAGGGGGUCCCUGGCGUGCGGCUCGGCUCCUCCCAUUUAAGCUGCCCUUAGGACAGGGAUAACCAUGGGAAACUACCGCUAAUCCCAGAUAGGAAACUUGGCCUGGAACGGUAUUUUUCCAAAAACCGGCUCGCCGUGAGAUACGGGCCUAAGGAUGGGGCUGCGGCCGAUUAUGCUUGAUGGCGGUGUAAUGGACCACCAUGGCGACGAUCGGUAUGGGCGAUGGAAGUUGGAGCCCAGAGUCGGCCACUGAGACAAGGGGCCGAGCCUUACGAGGCUUAGCGGUCGCGAAAACUCGCCAAUGCACGAAAGUGUGAGUGGGCCACUCCAAGUGACAUUCUUACGGAUGUCUGUCGCUCAGUAUUACUAGCUGAGAAAGGAAGGAGAGGGCAAGGCUGGUGCCAGCCGCCGCGGUAAAACCAGCUCUUCGAGUGGUCAGGACGUAUAUUGGGUCUAAAGCGCUCGUAGCCGGACAUGUAGGUUCCUGGUUAAAUCCGACAGCUUAACUGUUGGCCUGCUGGAAAUACCACAAGUCUUGGAAGCGGGAGAGGACAGAGGUAGUCUUAGGGCAGGGGUGAAAUCCAGUGAUCCUAAGGCGACCACCGAUGGCGAAGGCAUCUGUCUGGAACGUAUUUCACGGUGAGCGGCGAAAGCUAGGGGAACGACCCGGAUAAAAUACCAGGUUAGUCCUAGCCGGAAACGAUGCCGAUUAAGGUGUUACAGCGGCCAAUGAGCCACUGGUAUGCCCCAACGAAUGCGUUAAAUCGGCCACUGGGGAGGACGGGUGCAAAGCUAAACUCAAAGGAAAUGCCGGAUUUAAUUCCCCCGGCGCAAUGGCGGCCGGAAGCUGCGAACG